GGGGAAUUAGCUCAGCUGGGAGAGCGCAUGACUGGCAGUCAUGAGGUCAGGGGUUCGAUCCCCCUAUUCUCCA
rfam:Atopobium rimae ATCC 49626 contig00003, whole genome shotgun sequence.